UUCAGUUUUAAAGUUUGCCGUUGGUGAUGAAAUCACCAUGCACUAUAACUAUGGUUACAAAGCAGUGCAUCCAAAUUUUACCAUGGUAUGCAAGGAUGAAAACAAUGGUAGUUGGAGCCAUGAUCCCAUAGAGUGUCAUGUUGAGUGUCCAAAUCCAGAGGUGAAUAACACCAAUGUAAUCACCAUGGAUAAUUCGCCCGGUGGGUACGUAGUGAGCCUCACCUGCAAGGGCCGUCACAGACACAUCUUGGGGAUUUAGAACGCACGUGCAAUAGGAAUGGAAAGUGGACAGGUACACCACCUGUUUGUAAAGAAUGCAAGUGCCCUUGUUCGGCCAUAGGAUCAAUACCAAUCAAGUCAAACGAAACAAAGAAACUUGAACAACGAAUCAGAGAGCUACGAUCUUUGUUGACCGUACAGAAAAACAUGACUGCUAAAGCCAGACGACGAAAAGUAUGUGCCUCCGACCCGCGACCAUCUGCCCAAGGAGUAGGUUUAGUGAUGGGGGUUGGGGUUUUGGUGGUUAUAAUUUCAUCUAUUGUUAUCCUGGAUCUGCCUUCUUUGAUUUCUUCUUUCAAAUAGUAAAAUAAACUUUCUGCGUCAAUUUGUUACACCGUUUUAUUGAAGAUCCACAAGGAGCCAUUACGGUAGAAUAUAUUUUUUCUUAAUUAUUCAGUUGUACGGUCACAACAAUUGCCUUUUUUGCCGAUUUAACAAGUGCUUGGACUUUAGGCAGUGUGUGUGUGUCAAACUCCAAAUUGACAAGGUGGUGUCUAUUCAUGGUUACUAGAAGUAACUUUCAA